rnacentral:rRNA from 1 species
CCUACGGGUGGCAGCAGUGAGGAAUAUUGGUCAAUGGGCGUAAGCCUGAACCAGCCAAGUCGCGUGAGGGAUGAAGGUUCUAUGGAUCGUAAACCUCUUUUAUAAGGGAAUAAAGUGCGGGACGUGUCCCGGUUUGUAUGUACCUUAUGAAUAAGGAUCGGCUAACUCCGUGCCAGCAGCCGCGGUACUACGGAGGAUCCGAGCGUUAUCCGGAUUUAUUGGGUUUAAAGGGUACGUAGGCGGUAUGUCAAGUCAGUGGGGAAAGCCCCGCGCUCAACUUGGGAACUGCCUUUGAUACUGGCAAACUGGAGUGUGUGAGAGGAUAGUGGAAUUCCAGGUGUAGGAGUGAAAUCCGUAGAUAUCUGGAGGAACAUCAGUGGCGAAGGCGACUAUCUGGCACAUAACUGACGCUGAGGAGCGAAAGCGUGGGUAGCAAACAGGAUUAGAUACCCCUGUAGUC